GCCAGGCGUGGUGGCUCACGCCUGUAAUCCUAGCAUUUUGGGAGGCUGAGGCGGGUGGAUCACCUGAGGUUGGGAGUUCGAGACUAGCCUGACCAACAUGGAGAAACCCCGUCUCUA
rfam:Pan troglodytes isolate Yerkes chimp pedigree #C0471 (Clint) chromosome 16, whole genome shotgun sequence.